rnacentral:rRNA from 1 species
UACGGGGGGGGCAAGCGUUGUUCGGAAUUACUGGGCGUAAAGGGCGCGUAGGCGGUCUUGUAAGUCUCGUGUGAAAUCCCUCGGCUUAACUGAGGAACUGCACGGGAUACUGCAUGACUUGAGGUCGGGAGAGGGAAGCGGAAUUCCGGGUGCAGCGGUGAAAUGCGUAGAUAUCCGGAGGAACACCGGUGGCGAAGGCGGCUCUCUGGACAGUAACCGACGCUGAGGCACGAAAGCUAGGGGAGCAAACAGG